rnacentral:lncRNA from 1 species
UUUCAACUUUUAGAAGGAGAAAUUGAGGACUAAAGAUGUUCUAUUCAUUGCCAGACCAGAUUUGAGAGGCACAGGAUUGGGAUUAGAACCAAUCCUCAAAUUUUGCAUCCCAUACCUCACAAAUUCCCUUGAUCAGAAUGCCUACACUGAUCACUGGAACUUUCUGGAUCUUUCAAAAUUUUAUUAAUGUAUCUAGAGUAAAAACAAAUUUAAAUUUAAAUUCAUGUUACAUAUUGAUCAAAUUUGCCAAGAGUCUCCAAGUAUUUCAUUGUUAUUAUUAAAUUAUUGCUGUUCCUCCUCACCUACCCCCACACUACCACAGUUUCUAAAACUUGUUUUUAUUCAAAGAAUUUUUUUUCACAGAAAUGAAUCCCAGGUGAAUUUUUAAGCUAUAUGUCAAGCUCCCUUAUGAAUCUGUCUAAAAUAUCUAAGGAAUAAAUCCCAGAGCAGGAGGAACUUGUAUUCAUGCAUCUAAUUAACCUUUAAUUGUCUAUGUGACUGCCUUGCAGUUCAAUAGUUGCUUGAUUUUUAUUAUCCAUCUAAUUAGUGUGGUUUAAGUGGCUUUUUAUGUCAGAUUUUAUUAUAUCAGUUUGCCUACAGAAUUUCAGGACACUCUGGGGAGUUCCAAUAUCAUGGUAAUGCUUAAGUGCUAUAUAUCUAUUUUUUGUUUGUUUGAUUUUUCUCUUCAGAAAAAAAGUGCUUUGACCAAUUUUUCCCACUAGGGUGUAUAAGUAGUCUAUGAAAUUUAAAAAUGAUGGCAAAAGCUUUUCUAUUAAUUGUGCAUAAAUUAUCAACACUGCCAGUCAGCUCUAAUUAAUUGUUUUUCUACCCAAUAAACCUGCAAAGUGACAGACUUGAUAUUCUGAAACAAAGGGGGAUAGUGAAAGCAACCUCCCAAAAUACUUCAAUUCAGGGCAAGCUAACAAAUAUGCACAUAUUUAUAGAUCAGGCUCUAUAGUCAUGCAAAUAUAAUUUGUUACUGAAAUCUGUGGAUUGCUGUUAAUUGCAUCUCUAUAACGGGUUUUAAAAUAAUCAAUCACAUGUAUAAAUCUAUUCCCUACCACUGAUCUUUUUCUUAUUUUUGCAUGUCAUUUUAAUUUCCAAAUGAAGAGUAACCUUACCUUCAAUCAUAUGAUUUACAUUUUCAUAUGUUAGUCUUCUUAUUCUACAAACUUAGGAAUUAUUGAAAAUUAACAUGAAUGCAAUUUAAUUCUGUCCAUGUGGGGUAGGAUGAUUGUCUCUACUAUUGACUAUGAUUAUAGUUUCCCUUAGCCUCCCUAAAGUCUUGCUUUAUUUUCUUGUCUCUUUGGCUUUAAAAUAGAAUAGGCAGUUUGACUUAUUUCUAGAUCUCUUUCUCUCUCUCUCUCUGUUUUAGAGAAGUAUAUAAGAUAUUUUUAACCAUGUCUUCAAUUUAUCACUAAUAGUGAAAAUGUUUGGUGGUAAUUGCCUUAUGUACAGGAACAAUGGUAUGGGAAAGAAUGAAAGCACUGGGGCAUAUUGUCCCAUGUACAAAGUGUUGGGUUCUAUUCCCGACUUUAUCUUUGACGUAUAGCUUAGCCUUGGGCAGUCCAUGCUUCCUACUUUCUCAUUGUCUUAUUCUUUCCAUCUGGGAAACAAAGAUGAUUGUUCUUAUGGGCAGAAAAAAAAGGGAGGAUAUGCCAUAACUUUCUUUGAAUGGAAAUUAUUUGCAAAAUUCAGGGAUUAAUCUAAACAGUUUAGCUCACAUUUAUUGAGCAUCCUCUAUGCUGUAAUAAUUGUACUGGGUACCAGAGAUACAAAGAUAACUUUGACAUUACAUUGGUGCUCAUCAUCUGACAGAGGGUAGAAGAGGGGACUGAAUUCAAAUGUGUUUGAAACACUAUCUGGAAUCUCAUGAUAAAUCCAAGUGAAUUACAUUUUAAGGAUAGUUUGUCUAUUAAACUGAAAAAUACAGUGAACAAAUAAUUAGAAGUUCACCAUUUGCAAUGUUUUAAUCCCUAUGUGGAAGAACAGUACAUUCAUUUUCUUUGCCAUGUGACUUUGUAGUGCCUCCCUUUAAAGUUGGCGGAGUGCAUGUCUCUCUUCCAUUGACCUGUUUUGGUGAGGUGAUGUGCUUUACCCAAUAGAAUAAGGAGAGAAAAGUUGUGCUAGUUCUGAGCUGAGCCUUGUUGAGUCAUGGGAAAUUUCUGCCAGCCUGCUUAGAUUUCCUACUCCUUGCAGCAAAAAUGACUGUUUCUCAAGUGGCUGUUGCUCUUUAGCCAUGUUAGAAACAAACAAAUAUGGAGCAGACUGAACUCUACCGAAAGCCUGGAUUCCAGUCUAACCCAGGUGACCCCACUCAAGCCCAGGUGAAUCUCAUACACUUAAAAGCACAAAAUAAUUCUUAUAUAAGCCUUAGAGAUUUUGGAGUCAUUUGUUAUACAACAUUCUCAUGGUUAAGCAAAAAAAAAAAAAAUAUAUAUAUAUAUAUAGAGAUAUAUAGAUAUAUAGAUAUUUAAUAAACAUGUUUUUGAAGCCCAAAUAAAAUUAUUAACUGAAGAAAUGGCCAUUGAUAAAUGAUAAAACUAUCUGAUGGAAUAUAAAUGGAGAAUUGAGUAUUUACAUGACUCUGUAGAUCUCUUGCUGGGCACAAAAGAACAAAUGUAGAUUCAGUGAAGAAAUCAAGCUUUCACUACCUUAACCUGUUGUUGAUGGGACAAUGGACACCAUAAUGCAUCAUAUCAGGUUACACAUAAACUUCUCAGCAUGAUCUAUGAAGUAUUUUUGCCAAAGUGAUUAACUUGAUUUAGUAAAUCCUAGAUCCAACUUUCCUUUUUGCAGUAAAUACAGAGUAUAGAGGUAAAAGUUCAACAGUACCUUGAGUUAACAUCAGAAGAAUUCAGCACAGUGUAUUCUACAGGACAUUUGAUUGGUGUUUUCAACACCUAAUGUCUCAAAAAGAAAAAAAAAA